rnacentral:rRNA from 1 species
UGCUAGUCGCGCGGGUUCGGACCCGCGGCGAACAGCUCAGUAACACGUGGCCAAACUACCCUGUGGAGCGGGAUACCCUCGGGAAACUGAAGCCAACCCCGCAUACGGCACGCGCGGUGGAGCACCCGCGUGCCGGAAACACUCCGGUGCCACAGGAUGUGGCUGCGGCCGAUUAGGUCGACGGUGGGGUAACGGCCCACCGUGCCGAUAAUCGGUACGGGUUGUGAGAGCAAGAGCCCGGAGACGGAAUCUGAGACAAGAUUCCGGGCCCUACGGGGCGCAGCAGGCGCGAAACCUUUACACUGCACGCCAGUGCGAUAGGGGGACUCCGAGUGCGAGGGCAUACCGUCCUCGCUUUUCUGUACGGUAAGGACGUACAGGAACAAGGGCUGGGCAAGACCGGUGCCAGCCGCCGCGGUAAUACCGGCAGCCCGAGUGAUGACCGAUCUUAUUGGGCCUAAAGCGUCCGUAGCCGGCCGGGCUAGUCCGUCGGGAAAUCCACGCGCUCAACGCGUGGGCGUCCGGCGGAAACUGUCCGGCUUGGGGCCGGAAGACCCAGGGGGUACGUCCGGGGUAGGAGUGAAAUCCCGUAAUCCCGGACGGACCGCCGAUGGCGAAAGCACCCUGGGAAGACGGACCCGACGGUGAGGGACGAAAGCUGGGGUCUCGAACCGGAUUAGAUACCCGGGUAGUCCCAGCCGUAAACGAUGCUCGCUAGGUGUGGCCCCGG